rnacentral:piRNA from 1 species
UUACGGACAAGUUUCGCAGUCGGCUCGC